AUGCCUGGCGGCAGGCUACCCAUGCUCAUCGAACGGUACAGGAAGCAGCUUGCUGCUUUGCUGACGAGUGCGGACGGGUGAGUAAUGUCUGGGAAACUGCCUGAUGGAGGGGGAUAACUACUGGAAACGGUAGCUAAUACCGCAUAACGUCGCAAGACCAAAGAGGGGGACCUUCGGGCCUCUUGCCAUCGGAUGUGCCCAGAUGGGAUUAGCUAGUAGGUGGGGUAACGGCUCACCUAGGCGACGAUCCCUAGCUGGUCUGAGAGGAUGACCAGCCACACUGGAACUGAGACACGGUCCAGACUCCUACGGGAGGCAGCAGUGGGGAAUAUUGCACAAUGGGCGCAAGCCUGAUGCAGCCAUGCCGCGUGUAUGAAGAAGGCCUUCGGGUUGUAAAGUACUUUCAGCGGGGAGGAAGGCGAUAAGGUUAAUAACCUUGUCGAUUGACGUAACCCGCAGAAGAAGCACCGGCU
rnacentral:rRNA from 1 species